CAAUGGGUUCCAUUAGGAACCACUUAGAAAACAAGAAAAAGAUGA
rfam:Picea glauca, whole genome shotgun sequence.